rnacentral:lncRNA from 1 species
UUCCCUCCCUCCUCUUCAUUUUCAUUUCCAACUCUAUUUUUCUCUGGUCUAAUGAUACAUUUGCAUGGAAAGAAUAAAACUUACAAGAGAAUGACUCAUUUUAAAAUAUUAUGUUUGAUUAUUUUAUUAAAGGAAGGUACGAAAUAACUCAUACAUUACAGUUCUAUUUUCUUCUGAUCUAUUCCAUUUCUUUACUUAUCCAAUUUCCUGUCUAUUACUGUAAUUAUAAUAUACAUAUUUAUUUUUCAUUUCAGUUUUCUGUUUCAUUCUAUGUUUUAAUAAAUAUACAAACGCCAAGAAAGAUGUGAAGUUAUUUUCCCACCACCUUCAUUCAAUUUCCUUGCACCCUUCAACACUCUCUCCCUUUCUAUAACUUCUCACUCCACCUUCAAACAAACUUGCACUGNNN